rnacentral:tRNA from 1 species
UGGAGUGUGGCUCAGUUGGUAGGGUGUCUGCUUAGCAUGUACAAAGCCCUGGAUUCAAUCCCCUGUACUUCAU